GGGUCCUGUAGCUCAGAGGAUUAGAGCACGUGGCUACCAACCACGGUGUCGGGGUUCGAAUCCCUCCUCGCCCAC
rnacentral:tRNA from 1 species